ensembl:lincRNA linc-86 ncRNA
GAAGAUUUUGAUAAACUCCCAACUUUGGAGCAAUUCUUCCUUUGCGGCCAAAAUAUGUGGACAUGAAAAUCCGACCAGAAAUUGAGGAGAAGUGGUUGUUCUUAUUGGAUCAUUUGUUCACGAUAUAAAUUAAAUCAGAAUAUCUUCCACUGAAACCCGCCUAUGCGGUAACUUAUCACAAAGCACAAGGUCAGACCUAGGAUUUGGUGUAUGUUCAAUCAAUUUAUGUUGUAUUGGAUAUAAAUAAAUGUUUUGUUGCACC